UACGGAGGAUGCGAGCGUUAUCCGAAUUUAUUGGGUUUAAAGGGUGCGUAGGCGGGCUUUUAAGUCAGCGGUAAAAAUUCGGGGCUCAACCCCGUCCGGCCGUUGAAACUGGGGGCCUUGAGUGGGCGAGAAGAAGGCGGAAUGCGUGGUGUAGCGGUGAAAUGCAUAGAUAUCACGCAGAACCCCGAUUGCGAAGGCAGCCUUCCGGCGCCCUACUGACGCUGAGGCACGAAAGUGCGGGGAUCGAACAGG
rnacentral:rRNA from 1 species